rnacentral:rRNA from 1 species
GAUGAACGCUGGCGGCGUGCCUAAUACAUGCAAGUCGAGCGAACAGACGAGGAGCUUGCUCCUUUGACGUUAGCGGCGGACGGGUGAGUAACACGUAGGUAACCUACCUAUAAGACUGGGAUAACUUCGGGAAACCGGAGCUAAUACCGGAUAAUAUUUCGAACCGCAUGGUUCGAUAGUGAAAGAUGGCUUUGCUAUCACUUAUAGAUGGACCUGCUCCGUAUUAGCUAGUUGGUAAGGUAACGGCUUACCAAGGCAACGAUACGUAGCCGACCUCAGAGGGUCAUCGGCCACAUUGGAACGUAGCCACGAUCCAGACUCCUAAGGGACGCAGCAGUGUGGAAUCUUCCGCGAUGGGCGAACGCCUUACGCUGCAACGCCGCGUCAGUUAUGACGGUCUUCGGAUCGUAAAACUCUGUUAUUAGGGAAGAACAAACGUGUAAGUAACUGUGCACGUCUUGGCGGUACCUAAUCAGAAAGCCACGGCUCACUACGUG